rnacentral:misc_RNA from 1 species
GUAAGAGUUAUGCCAAUUAUUGUCCAGGGUCAUGAAACUUACGAGAAGUAUCAUAUAACGAGUAAGCGGAUUAAAAAUUUGGUACAACCACCCUGCCACCAGACGACGAUGCAACCAGAUUGUAAGUACAUGUGGAGCAAGGAAACUACAGUUUCACUUUUACGCAACGCUUUAUCCAACAACGCUCGAUAUCGUGUUCUUUAACUACGAGAAAAUGCCCUUAAAUAUUAACGCCGAUGAAUAUACAUCAGAGGAAUAAAUAGUUAAAAAAUCAGACACGCCUCGGAGCAGGUAAGUGUUUCUAACAUCAGCACGAAAUCACUUUCAACCAUUUGAAAGCAUGGAAACGUCGAGUUUCUCUAAGAAUCCCGCAGAAUUACGCGGUAAGUACGUCAAAGCGGUUCCAGUCCCGCAAAGGAGGCUGCGAUUCUACCGCGCAGCGUUUCUCCCGUCGACGACAGACCUCUCGAGAGCUUCCACGAUGCGACGCAAUUUCACCGCUGCUGAAUAUUAUUGCCCCGAAAUUGCACGUUAACCGAACGAAACGGGGCCGUUUUAUCGAUGGAACCCGAAACCAGAAGGAAACGGCGACGACCUACUUCGAGAUUAUGCGGCGCAUCAGAGACAGAGCGUACAAGUGCCAUGUCAUCGAGGCCGCAUCCUAACUGAGAGACGAGCUCGAUGAAGUCGCGCUGAAAUGACGAGCUUACACGCUUCAGCUCGAAACACAAGGCAAUAGAGUAAUCGUGCAAGAGGGGCGGCAGAAUGGAGGGUUGGCAAAGUUCGUACAUUAUGAGUUUUUCGGCGGUGAGCGGUGAAAGGAGCUAUGCUACGAACCAAGUACAACAUGCUACGCCGGAAAUUUAGAGCGUGUACCUUUCUGCUGUAGUAUGGUUAGGGGAAGAAGACGGAGGGAAUGCACGUGACUAUAUGCGCAGAGAAAUGGGUUUAUGCGAGCAUGUAACAGACUGCGAAGAUAUAGAACCGAGCGUAUAGUUAAGUAAACGAUACUGCACGGGAGGUUGAGAUGCGCAGGAAUUUUUAAAGUGCGGUUAUUAAUUU